ensembl:lncRNA
UCCGGUGCAGUUGGGGCCACCAACCUUGCUAACUGAAGCGGAAACUCUUGACUUGUUAUCUUACAUUAACGGAAGCCCCCAGCAUCCUGGGAAGUUAUGGGGCUUACAGGUUAACUCUAGCCCUUACAUUGUCACUAAAAGUGUACUGUACCAUACACCUCCUCUGCUUCACGUUCCACAAAAGUCACUGGCCGCAGUAGUAUGCAGAGCAGAUCUGAGGGCAGACAAGAAAGCUGCUAAGCCUUGUUAUUUCCUGCCAAAACUGCCACAGAAAGGCAUCCAUGUACUGGUCUACCCUUCCAAGGGAACUGGAACACAAACACUGUAGCAGAUGAGCUGAAAUUUAAAGAGAGAGGGAAUGCGUGUCCUUCUAAUACUGGGAAAGAAGAGUAUAAAAGGGCAACAGAUAGCAGUUGAUUGGUUGAUGUCCAUCAGCGGGAUGAAGAAAGAAAAAUCUCAGAUGGUUGCAAAAAAUCUAUACAGGAAUAUUCAUCACAGUAUGACCAGGCAAAUCUGUAUCUUCUCUUCUAUCCAGAGUGAAAACAUCUACUGUUCCCCGUGGAAUCUAAUACACAGCGAGAUCUAAUGAAACCAUUGUUUCAGAAUGAGAUCCCCUCACAUCUCUCUCUCAUCUAUCAUCUAUCUACCCACAAUGGAUCUAUGUAUUCACAAUAUGCACAUAUAUUAAAUGAAGCCCAUCAUAUAUAGUGGAUAAUAUAUAUGUGCUAUAUCUUAUACAUAUAUAAUAGAAUAUAUGAAAUAAUGUGACAUAUGCACAACAGCUGCUAAGGAAUGAAUGAGAGAAUGAAUCCUUAUUCCUAACAGGAAUAUUUAAACCAGAUGAUUCAUCUCUUGGCAAGUCUUCUGCUCCUUUAAAGCCUAAUGCCGUGACCCUUUAAUACAGUUCCUAAUGUUGUGGAGACCCCCCAACCAUAAAUUAUUCUCAUUGCUAUUCAUAACUGUAAUUUUGUCACUGUUAUGAAUUGCAAUGUAUACAUCUGUAUACGUCUUAGAUGACCCCUGUGAAGAGGUCAUUCGACUCCCAAAGGGGUUGUGACCUGCAUUUUGAGAAAUGCUGUUCUAGAUUGUGACGAAACACAACCACAUACCUUUACCUGAAUAAUUUUAUAGAAACAUAUACAAGUUUUUGUAUUAUAAAUAUCCAUAAUGUACAAAAUGUAAUUUGGAAACAUGUAUCAGAAGUUGGUUCCUGCCUCUGGGAGAGGCAGGUAGCGGCUGUAGCAACUUGAGAAAGACUGACACUUCCUGUCUUUCUUUACGUAGUUGGAAAUUUUGGAUUGGGUACAUUUUCAUCACCGAAUGACAUACACAUAGAAAAGUAUAUCACCUAACAAGAUUGUAAGUGUAUAUGCUUUUUGAUUCAAAUAUUUCUCUCCCGAGAAUAAUAUCCUGCAAAC